GAUGAACGCUGGCGGCGUGCCUAAUACAUGCAAGUCGAGCGAACAGACGAGGAGCUUGCUCCUCUGACGUUAGCGGCGGACGGGUGAGUAACACGUGGAUAACCUACCUAUAAGACUGGGAUAACUUCGGGAAACCGGAGCUAAUACCGGAUAAUAUAUUGAACCGCAUGGUUCAAUAGUGAAAGACGGUUUUGCUGUCACUUAUAGAUGGAUCCGCGCCGCAUUAGCUAGUUGGUAAGGUAACGGCUUACCAAGGCAACGAUGCGUAGCCGACCUGAGAGGGUGAUCGGCCACACUGGAACUGAGACACGGUCCAGACUCCUACGGGAGGCAGAAGUAGGGAAUCUUCCGCAAUGGGCGAAAGCCUGACGGAGCAACGCCGCGUGAGUGAUGAAGGUCUUCGGAUCGUAAAACUCUGUUAUUAGGGAAGAACAAAUGUGUAAGUAACUAUGCACGUCUUGACGGUACCUAAUCAGAAAGCCACGGCUAACUACG
rnacentral:rRNA from 1 species